rnacentral:rRNA from 1 species
GCUUUAAAUUUUCUAUUUUAAAACCAAAUUUACUUUUUUACCUUUGUUUAUAUUUUUAUUUAUCUUUUGCUCUUGCCUUUUGGUUUAUACCAAAAGGUAUAAACAUGCAAAAGCAAGAGAUAAAAAUAUAAAUAAAAAUGCUAGGAAGAGAAAGUAAAUAAGCUCUAAAUUUAAUAAAUAAAAAUAAAAUUUUCAACUCGCAAUCCUCAGGAUUUAUAGGAGAAAAUUAAAUAAAUAAGACCUAAUUUUAUUAAGAACAGUAAAAAAUAGAAUAAAUUAAAG